UACGUAGGGUGCAAGCGUUGUCCGGAAUUAUUGGGCGUAAAGAGCUCGUAGGCGGUCUGUCGCGUCUGCUGUGAAAACUCGGGGCUUAACCCCGGGCCUGCAGUGGGUACGGGCAGACUAGAGUGCGGUAGGGGAGACUGGAAUUCCUGGUGUAGCGGUGAAAUGCGUAGAUAUCCGGAGGAACACCGGUGGCGAAGGCGGCUUACCUGGACCGACACUGACGCUGAGGCGCGAAAGCUAGGGGAGCAAACGGG
rnacentral:rRNA from 1 species